UAAUGGAAAUGAAACGCAUGUCAACACCUCCAUGUUUGUCAUAGAGAAGUUAGAGGCUAAAGACAUUGGGAAUUACACCUGCACUGCCAGAAACAUGGUGACCAGGAAGGAAAACUCUGCUGUUCUGGAUCUGAGAGCAUCCUGUACUGCCCCCUGUUGGUCAUUCUCAGCUUUGGUCAUCAGUGUAAUUAAUCUGAAAGGGUUAAUGUAAGACAGCAGAUAAAUGCAGCUACUGAAGAAAACCUCCAACGAAAAGUACAGAACAACUUUAAAGAAGCGUUGGACUUUGCCGAAAGCUCAGAAAAACCUGAUUUGAAAUGGAAAGUCUUUCACUUCUAAGAUCUUGUUUGGAAAUUUAAAUAGAUAUACAUGUAUUACUUUUUUUCCCCUUUUGUAUAUCUGUUUUUUUUUAUCAUUUUGUAUAAGAAACAGCAACAGAAA